CGCGGGGUAGAGCAGCCUGGUAGCUCAUUGCGCUCAUAACGCAAAGGUCGUGUGUUCAAAUCACACUCCCGCAACCA
rnacentral:tRNA from 1 species